GGAGGGAGAAGGAGAAGGAAGCGAAUGCAAUUUUGUAGAAGAAAUGCAAGAUAUAGUAAAAUCUGUUAUUAAUUGCACAACCUCUUCCGUGUGUAUAGUGCCGAUCCCUAAGAUUGAGCCUGAGCAGUGUAUGAAGAUUCCUGGUGACUUUGUUGCUUUAGCGGCAUGCGUUGGGAUUGAAUUAACGGAGAGUGGCGUGUUAGACGAUAUGAGCGGCUUAAUGCCUUUUAUUCCUACUGAUAUUAUUGGCUAAAAUUACUAAGUAAAACAUAAUUUUACGAAGAUAAAUGUUCUAUUUAAUUUUGUAAGUUUUGUAAAUUUGCCUC